UACAGAGGGUGCGAGCGUUAAUCGGAAUGACUGGGCGUAAAGGGCGCGUAGGCGGAUAUACAAGUCAGAUGUGAAAGUCCCGGGCUUAACCUGGGGAGGCCAUUUGAAACUGUAUAACUAGAGUGAAGGAGAGGGUAACGGAAUUUCCGUUGUAGCGGUGAAAUGCGUAGAUAUCGGAAAGAACACCGGUGGCGAAGGCGGUUACCUGGACUUCAACUGACGCUGAGGCGCGAAAGCGUGGGGAGCAAACAGG
rnacentral:misc_RNA from 1 species